rnacentral:rRNA from 1 species
AUUGAACGCUGGCGGCAUGCCUUACACAUGCAAGUCGAACGGCAGCACGGGAGCAAUCCUGUUGGCGAGUGGCGAACGGGUGAGUAAAGUAUCGGAACGUGCCCAGUCGUGGGGGAUAACGUAGCGAAAGUUACGCUAAUACCGCAUACGAUCUAUGGAUGAAAGCGGGGGAUCGCAAGACCUCGCGCGAUUGGAGCGGCCGAUAUCAGAUUAGGUAGUUGGUGGGGUAAAGGCUCACCAAGCCGACGAUCUGUAGCUGGUCUGAGAGGACGACCAGCCACACUGGGACUGAGACACGGCCCAGACUCCUACGGGAGGCAGCAGUGGGGAAUUUUGGACAAUGGGCGAAAGCCUGAUCCAGCCAUGCCGCGUGCAGGAUGAAGGCCUUCGGGUUGUAAACUGCUUUUGUACGGAACGAAAAGGUUUGGGCUAGUAAGCUGAGCUCAUGACGGUACCGUAAGAAUAAGCACCGGCUAACUACGUGCCAGCAGCCGCAGUAA